AGAGUUUGAUCAUGGCUCAGAACGAACGCUGGCGACAUGCCUAAUACAUGCAAGUCGAACGAGAUCCUUCGGGGUCUAGUGGCGCACGGGUGCGUAACGCGUGGGAAUCUGCCCUUGGGUUCGGAAUAACGUUUGGAAACGAACGCUAAUACCGGAUGAUGACGAAAGUCCAAAGAUUUAUCGCCCAGGGAUGAGCCCGCGUAGGAUUAGCUAGUUGGUAAGGUAAAGGCUUACCAAGGCGACGAUCCUUAGCUGGUCUGAGAGGAUGAUCAGCCACACUGGGACUGAGACACGGCCCAGACUCCUACGGGAGGCAGCAGUAGGGAAUAUUGGACAAUGGGGGCAACCCUGAUCCAGCAAUGCCGCGUGAGUGAUGAAGGCCUUAGGGUUGUAAAGCUCUUUUACCCGGGAUGAUAAUGACAGUACCGGGAGAAUAAGCCCCGGCUAACUCCGUGCCAGCCGCCGCGGUAAUUC
rnacentral:rRNA from 1 species